rnacentral:lncRNA from 1 species
GAUUAAUUAUAAUAGAGAGUUAAGGAGACGUGAUAUAUAAUCUUCUCGUUUUGGUUUAUCAGUUCUUAAUAUUUUGAGGGGAUUUGGUAAGCAACUUGUGACUCUUUUAUUUGAUUUCCUACUUCUUCUUCUUUUUUCUUUUUUUUUUCCUUCUUUUCUUUCCAUGGGUAAAGAAAUGUUAAAGAGUGAGCCAUUGAUUAAUCCCACAAGAAAGAAACACAUUGUGUAUUGUGGUCAUUAGUUUCAGUCUUUCAGACCCUUUAUGGUGUCUCUCUAGCUAUUACAUUUUUCUUCUUCUUGUUAUUACCAAUACCAAAAACUGC